rnacentral:rRNA from 1 species
UACAGAGGUCUCAAGCGUUGUUCGGAUUCAUUGGGCGUAAAGGGUGCGUAGGUGGCGUGGUAAGUCGGGUGUGAAAUUUCGGAGCUUAACUCCGAAACUGCAUUCGAUACUGCUAUGCUUGAGGACUGGAGAGGAGACUGGAAUUUACGGUGUAGCAGUGAAAUGCGUAGAGAUCGUAAGGAAGACCAGUGGCGAAGGCGGGUCUCUGGACAGUUCCUGACACUGAGGCACGAAGGCCAGGGGAGCAAACGGG